GACGAACGCUGGCGGCGUGCCUAAUACAUGCAAGUAGAACGCUGAAGGAGGAGCUUGCUUCUCUGGAUGAGUUGCGAACGGGUGAGUAACGCGUAGGUAACCUGCCUGGUAGCGGGGGAUAACUAUUGGAAACGAUAGCUAAUACCGCAUAAGAGUAGAUGUUGCAUGACAUUUGCUUAAAAGGUGCAAUUGCAUCACUACCAGAUGGACCUGCGUUGUAUUAGCUAGUUGGUGGGGUAACGGCUCACCAAGGCGACGAUACAUAGCCGACCUGAGAGGGGGAUCGGCCACACUGGGACUGAGACACGGCCCAGACUCCUACGGGAGGCAGCAGUAGGGAAUCGUCGGCAAUGGACGGAAGUCUGACCGAGCAACGCCGCGGGAGUGAAGAAGGGUGUCGGAUCGUAAAGCUCUGUUGUAAGAGAAGAACGAGUGUGAGAGUGGAAAGUUCACACUGUGACGGUAUCUUACCAGAAAGGGACGGCUAACUACGUG
rnacentral:rRNA from 1 species